rnacentral:tRNA from 1 species
CGGGGUGUGGCUCAGGUGGUAGAGCGCUUCGUUAGGGACGAAGAGGCCGCAAGUUCAAGUCUUGUCACUCCGACGA